rnacentral:rRNA from 1 species
AUUGAACGCUGGCGGCAUGCCUUACACAUGCAAGUCGAACGGUAACAGGUUAAGAUGACGAGUGGAGAACGGGCGAGUAAUGUAUCGGAACGUGCCCAGUCGGGAGGGAUAACUGCUCGAAAGAGCAGCUAAUACCGCAUACGACCUGAGGGCGAAAGAGGGGGAUCGCAAGACAUCGCGCGAUUGGAGCGGCCGCUAUCAGAUUAGGUAGUUGGUGAGGUAAAGGCUCACCAAGCCGACGAUCUGUAGCUGGUCUGAGAGGACGACCAGCCACACUGGGACUGAGACACGGCCCAGACUCCUACGGGAGGCAGCAGUGGGGAAUUUUGGACAAUGGGCGCAAGCCUGAUCCAGCCAUGCCGCGUGCGUGAAGAAGGCCUUCGGGUUGUAAACCGCUUUUGUCAGGGAAGAAAAGGUUCUGGCUAAUACCUGGGACUCAUGACGGUACCUAAAGAAUAAGCACCGGCUAACUACGUG